ensembl:lncRNA
UUUUAGGGCUGCACCCAUGGCAUAUGGAGGUUCCCAGGCUAGGAAUCAAAUCAGAGCUGCAGCUGCUGGCCUACACCAUAGCCACGGCAACACAGGAUCCGAGCUGGGUCUGCGAUCGACACCACAGCUCACAGCAAGGCCAGGGAUCAAACCCAUGUCCUCAUGGAUAUAAGUCAGGUUCAUCACUGCUGAAAAAAAAGGAACUCCAAACUUCUUAAGUAAAUGAAUGCAUGGAUGACAAAUUGAUCUUCACCACCGUUCCAAGUUUAACUAGUUCGGGAGAGUACAGGAUGCUUCCAAGGUUCAAGGCUGCAAAACUAAGACCUUCUGAGUCCGUUCCCUAAACCAGAUGUCCAGAGCACAACUUGAUCUAAAAAGCUAAAAUCAAGGUAAAUAAAAUACCAAAGAAACAAGGAAAAGAUUCACACAGAGACAUGCUCCCUGAAAAACCCUCAAGACAAGGACAAAGAGCAAAUGCUACGAGAUUCUAGAGAGAAGAAAAAACAGAUUCCACUUGGGGAAUGUGAUAGCCGACCUAGAAUUUUAUACAGCCAACUUAAGAAUCAAGUGAAACACAGAGUAAAGGCAUUGCAGGAUACAAGUACGUUAAAUUUUCCCUUCUGUAUAGUUUAUCCUCAAGAGUGACCCAAGGACAUGUUCCAGCAAAACGAGAGGAAGCUACCAGGGUCUUGAAAAGAGUGAUUGAUCAUUGAAAACAGCAAAGGGCAACUGCAGUGAUGGCAACACUACUGCAGACGCAGGGCAGCAAGCCCGCUGCAACAAGAGGCUUCUUGUUUUGUUUGUUUUGUUUUUAGGGAGGCGGUAAAAUGCAGAGAAACAGAAUUAAUAGAAAAAAUGGCAUAAUGGUGGGAAGCUUGAAAAACAUGAUAUGAGGCUAAGAAAAAGGAGGUUGGUGGAACUAAAAAAAAAAAAGAAAAGAAAAGAAAUUUGUCCCAGAAACACUGAGUAGGGACAUUGGGUCUAUAAAGAAAGACAAGUCCUCGCUCACCACUGCUCUGCUGGGAACUGUGUUUACCACCCAAACAAAAUAAACACUAUUUUCUGGUCUUCUACUCUUAGACUCCACUUUAGACAAACAUGGACAAGAACAAGGAUGUCAGAACGACCCGUCAAAGGACAGGCUGACAGGCUGGGAGGUGGAGGGAGGGGAGGAAGGAGAGCCGCUUGGUCCUCGGUCCUCAAAGACCAGCGGAAUCAAGAGAUCCCAUCUAGAGCUGAUGGAGCAGGAAACGGGGGCUUAAUUGUGUUCUUUGAAGUUGAAGAGGAGACGCCAUUAAGCUCAGAAAAUAGUCAUUCAACUAUAUUUAGAAGAGUGUGGGGGAGAAACAUGGGAUAUUAAUGAAAUGACGUCUUGUCUGCUACAGAAGACAGUCCACAGAAAGCACCAAAGUGGCUCAAUUAAUAAACAGCAUCUUAUUCAGAACUCUGGAGGUAGCCCCCCCAUCACCUCUAAGCAAAAAUUUGUCUCCAGGGAGCAGGACUGAGUGGGAAAUGACAGGCAGGUGCCUUGUUUCCCAUGAUAAGGUAUUCUUUGAUCUUCAAUCAUCUGCAUAUAUUACUAAUUAAAAUCUUUAAUGAGGAACUUCUGAGAUAAGCAGUUUUAUAAGGCUAUGCGGUACGUGAUGGCAUGGAAAGGUGAGGGGGCGGUAAGCCAAACAGGUGUCAGACGUCGUCUCUUUAUAAUUGCUACAUAUCUACAUCUUCCUUAUGAAUUAGUUUUUGUACGCAUAAUUUGAAAAAUAACUUGAAGAAUAACCCCUUAAGUUUCUCGUAGGGCACAGGGCACACUGUCUCCAAGCAGGAAUAUUCAAGGUGGAUAUGCCUGAUUUGGAAAUACAUUUAUAAAGGUCUCCCCUACCUGCAGCUGCAGCCUUCCACAUGCCAGCGCCACUGUCAGUGGCGCUCCACAGUCCUGCACAAGUUCAAGGACCCUCUACAAUCAUACAUCUGAGCUGGCUUAGCUCCCUCUCACUAGUCCCUUGUGCCCAGCCUGUAUUCGCUAGGGAGUCACUCAGCUCCCUGCAAAUGGGAUGAUCUCUGCUCUUCAAACUCAUUUGUAAGAAUGAGAUCGAGUGGGCAUUUCGCAAUAACACACCUCUAUUUGGAUAAAGAUACAUACAACAGGAGUUCCCAUCGUGGCUCAGUGGUUAACGAAUCCGACUAGGAACCAUGAGAUUGCGGGUUCGAUCCCUGGCCUUGCUCAGUGGGUUAAGGAUCCGGCAUUGCUGUGAGCUGUGGUGUAGAUCGCAGACACAGCUCAGAUUAGACUAUAGCUCCGAUUACACCCCUAGCCUGGGAACCUCCGUAUGCCGCAGGAGCGGCCCUAGAAAAGGCAAAAAAGACAAAAAAAAAAAAAAAAAAAAAAAAAAAAAGAUAUAUACAACAGAGCUGUACCUGAGAGCUGGAAUUCACCCCAUUCCUUUCCUUUAUUUGUUCCUUUUAUAGAUGAGAAACUGAGAGCCAGGAGCUUAAGUCAUUUGCCUGAGGUCAAAAUCCCAUCAGAUUCCCAGCCUUUUGUCUACACCCGAUUUUUAAAGGAAAGAUAGUCAGGGUGUCUCAGGUCUUUGGGUCACAGGUAACAGAACCUCAGGUUCAAGCCGAAGGAAAAAAUGAUCAGAAAAAUACUGGAAUCCAAGGGUAGGCGGGGCAGUGAGAGACUGAGGCUGGGUGAGAAAGCCCACGGGACCAGAGGCAGCCUCCCUCCCUCCUUCUCUCUGUGGCCCAUUGACAAACGUGGCCUCCAGGCUCCGCCCAGCAUGUGUGGGAGAGUCUCGAGACACAGAAGGACCGUCCUGCGGCCAGCAGGAACCCACGGUGAGGUUGGGGGACGCUGCUGAUGCUUUAGCAUGAGACGGCGAGAAGCGGAGGCGGGGGCGAAGCUCUGACAAGCGGUGACUGCUUCUGGGCUCUGCAUGUCUCUGGGGACACGAUUAAUAUUUUCAAGGCGACAGACCGAGGCUUGGGCAGGUAAGCACAGGGAUGCCAAGUAGCCGAGACUCAUAACUGGCGGUCCUUCCUCUUGGUAUGAGACUCGUUCAUUCCUUUAAGCUUCUCCUCUGUCACAUGCAAUGAUCAGCCCAGCACUGGCGGCCCUGGAACAAGCCCCACCUCUCCCACGGGCCUUUCUCUGGGAGGAGCGCUGGUCUCCCGGCAGCUGCUCAAAGCCAUCAGCACCCUGGGCUUCGGGCUGGGUCCUGGGACCAGUGCUGUGUGGGGACUCACUCGCUUCUUGCCGAAUGGCUCCAUCCACCUCCUGGCAUUCGGCCUCUUUUCAGGAGUGCACCAGGGCCAGCUCACCCCGCUGCCCAGCGCCAACUGGUGCAUUCUUUGGAAAUGUGCAAGCUGCUUGACAUCUGGUUGGCAGCUUGAAAUCAGACCUCGUGGGAGGACUUGAAAGCUUGGAGAUGGACAAGCUACCCAUCGGGGCCUCCUCCACGCCCAGCCUGUUGUUAACUAUUCGUCAGCACAUCCGGGACUCCGUCUGCCCCUUCCUGCCCAGAGAGCUAUGCAAAGGGUUCACACGGAGGCUCACGCUUGAUUUUCAGUGGUCUACCUCUUUUUAUGUAUCUAGUAUAGCUUUUAAAAAAAAAAAAAAUUCUUUGCAAUUGUAAAUGCUUCAAAUCCGUUGCAGUGCUAACUUUAGGCCAACCGCUGAAGAGAACAAAUGGAUUCUUUGUGUAACUCAACCCCUCAGCUUAGCUGGAGCAUUUAAACUCCCUUGUUUUCCACACGCUGCGUGCCCUCACCUCAGGCCUUAUCUCUCUCGGAGCCUCUAGCCGAGACCGCCUCUCUGGUUUCAGGGCUCUAGAUUUCCCCCGUUGGCCCUCCGUAUCUCUGCCCAAUCUUUUGAAAGCAUCGCGUCUGGUCACGUCUCCGUCAGAGCCUCCGAGUUGGCUCCAAACACGGUUCAAAUUCCUGACCCAGCUCUCAGCUCCCCUCCCCACCCCCACUCCGUCUUUGGGCCCUUUAUUCCCCAGGGACCCCACGGAUGGGCAGCUCCUUCCCCCGGGAGGCCCUCCUCCAGCCCGUCUCCUCUGGAACCAAUCCAUGUGGCAUUUCACCCACACUACGCUCUCACCCCAAUCCCUGUCGCCCAGCCAGAGGCGACCGUGGUGGCUUUGGACCACUUAGGAUACCUUGCUCGAAGCCGUCACGUGUCUGUCACCGCCGCGACUCCUCUAGGGGCGCAGGACGCAGGGAUUCACUACCUGACUGCAACUCAAAAGUGUGGUCCAGGCAGUGCCUGGUGCCCGUGAGCGCUGCCAACGCUCCAUCCCCAUUCCAGGCCUAAAUGAAUCAGAAUCCUGGGGUGGUGGGAGACGGAGCCUCCAGGUGAUCCCAACAACACGAGGCUACCUCGUGCCCACGGGCUCUUUCUAGAUGUCCUCUGUGCGGCUGCUCCUUACUGUAUUGGAAUUGCAUUUGUUAACAAUAAUCUCAUUGUAUUCUUAUUAUACUUUUCCCUGCUCCCUCGGAUUCUCACCUUCUGGAAGGAUCCCCUCACAAGACUCCAGGUGGCGGUUCCUCCACUGACAUUCUGCUGCUUCUCUGUGCUGCACAGGCCCGGCGUGCCCCCCACCCCACCCCCGGGGGCCCGCAGCUUCAUUUGGCGCUCAGCUGGGUCCACUGCGCUUCUCUCUAUAGAUGCCAAUUACCAUCCCUCUUCUCAAAACAUCAACUGCAAAGGCUAGUUUGAGCCAUCGACGGUUGGCAGUUCUGUUAGCAAGGAAGCUUUGUACGGGGCCACUCUGGCCAGCCCAGGGCAAAGGUCAGGGCUUCACAGUGACCGAAGCCACUAUCACUGAGAAAAGGCCUCCCCCAGUGAGGGAGGGCUCUGCCAGGAAUCAGAUGUGGCUACCCCAAGGCCCAACUCCUGGAGAGCUAGGACCGCCUCUUGUUGUUGUUAACUUUUAAUUUAGAUAUAAUUUCAAAGUUACAGAAAAAUUGCAAGUAUAGCAUAAGAGGUUCCAUAUAUCUUUUACCCAGAUUCCCCCAUCACUUAUACUUUACUCCAUUUCUUUUAUUGUAAUAUUCUAUUGGUGUGUUUUUUUCUUAACUUUUUUUUUUUUCUGCUUUUUAGGGUGGCACCUGCGGCAUAUGGAGGUUUCCAGGCUAGGAGUUGAAUUGGAGCUGUAGCCACCGGCCCACACCACAGCAACACAGGAUCCAAGCAGCGUCUGCAACCUACACCACAGCUCACGGCAACGCCAGAUCCUUAACCCGCUGAGCGGAGCCAGGGAUCGAACCCGAAAACUCGUGAGUACUAGCAAACUUAUGGUUAGUAGUCGGGUUUGUUAACCACUGAGCCACGACGGGAACUCCAUGCCUCUAAAUAUUUCUAUGAACAAGGAGAUUCUCUUACAUAAAAAGAGCACAAUG